GCAUAUCAAUAAGCGGAGGAAAAGAAACUAACAAGGAUUCCCUUAGUAACGGCGAGUGAAGAGGGAAGAGCUCAAAUUUUAAAUCUAUCAUGUUGUACAUGAUCGAGUUGUAAUUUGAAGAAGCGUUUUCUCGUACUUUAUGAUCAGUAUAAGUUCUCUUGGAACAGGACAUCAUAGAGGGUGAUAAUCCCGUCUGUUACUGAUUGUGAGGUUCGUUUAUGAUACGCUUUCAAAGAGUCGAGUUGUUUGGGAUUGCAGCUCCAAAUGGGUGGUAAACAUCACCUAAGGCUAAAUAUUUGCGAGAGACCGAUAGCGAACAAGUACCGUGAGGGAAAGAUGAAAAGAACUUUGAAAAGAGAGUUAAAAAGUAUGUGAAAUUGUUGAAAGGGAAACGAUUGAAGUCAGUCGUGCAGUCAUCAAUUCAGCGGUUAACAUUUUAUGUUUCCGUGUAAUUUGGUGUCUGUUGGUUAGCAUCAAUUUUGAUUGUUAUAAAAAGGUUAAGGGGAUGUGGCUCCUUCGGGAGUGUUAUAACCCUUAGCGUAAUGUGACGAUUAGGAUUGAGGUUUGCAACGAAUACCUUUUAGGGCAGUUUCACCUGGCCUCUCGUGGAAUUAUAGAUAGUUAAGAGCAUGCUCUUACUGUUUAUGAUUCUACGAAAAGGUUGGAGUGUAAAANUAAUNNGUUAAGGAUGUUGACGUA
rnacentral:rRNA from 1 species